rfam:Schizophyllum commune H4-8 unplaced genomic scaffold SCHCOscaffold_12, whole genome shotgun sequence.
GCCCGAGUUGUCUAAUGGUCAUGAUAUCGCUUUCCGGUAGGGAGAUAGGCGGAGGUUGCGGGUUCGAAUCCCGUCUCGGGUU